rnacentral:rRNA from 1 species
GACGCUGGCGGCGUGCUUACACCUGCAGUUGAACGAACUUCGGGUUAGUGGCGGACGGGUGAGUAACGCGUGAGAAUCUGCCCUCAGGAGGGGGACAACAGCUGGAAACGGCUGCUAAUACCCCAUAUGCCGCGAGGUGAAAUGAAUUUCGCCUGAGGAUGAGCUCGCGUCUGAUUAGCUAGUUGGUGUAGGUAAUGGCUCACCAAGGCAUCGAUCAGUAGCUGGUUUGAGAGGAUGAUCAGCCACACUGGGACUGAGACACGGCCCAGACUCCUACGGGAGGCAGCAGUGGGGAAUUUUCCGCAAUGGGCGAAAGCCUGACGGAGCAACGCCGCGUGAGGGAUGAAGGCCUCUGGGCUGUAAACCUCUUUUAUCAAGGAAGAAGAUCUGACGGUACUUGAUGAAUAAGCCACGGCUAAUUCCGUGCCAGCAGCCGCGGUAAUACGGGAGUGGCAAGCGUUAUCCGGAAUUAUUGGGCGUAAAGCGUCCGCAGGCGGCCCUACAAGUCUGCUGUUAAAAAGUGGAGCUUAACUCCAUCAUGGCAGUGGAAACUGUUGGGCUUGAGUGUGGUAGGGGCAGAGGGAAUUCCCGGUGUAGCGGGUGAAAUGCGUAGAUAUCGGGAAGAACACCCAGUGGCGAAGGCGCUCUGCUGG